AUUGAACGCUGGCGGCAUGCCUUACACAUGCAAGUCGAACGGUAACGCGGGGCAACCUGGCGACGAGUGGCGAACGGGUGAGUAAUGCAUCGGAACGUGCCCAGUAGUGGGGGAUAGCCCGGCGAAAGCCGGAUUAAUACCGCAUACGACCUAUGGGUGAAAGCGGGGGAGCGUAAGACCUCGCGCUAUUGGAGCGGCCGAUGUCAGAUUAGGUUGUUGGUGGGGUAAAAGCCUACCAAGCCUGCGAUCUGUAGCUGGUCUGAGAGGACGACCCGCCACACUGGGACUGAGACACGGCCCAGCCUCCUACGGGAGGCAGCAGUGGGGAAUUUUGGACAAUGGGCGCAAGCCUGAUCCAGCCAUGCCGCGUGCGGGAAGAAGGCCUUCGGGUUGUAAACCGCUUUUGUCAGGGAAGAAAUCCUCUGGGUUAAUACCUCGGGGGGAUGACGGUACCUGAAGAAUAAGCACCGGCUAACUACGUGCCAGCCGCCGCAGUAAGAC
rnacentral:rRNA from 1 species